rfam:Ciona savignyi cont_36774, whole genome shotgun sequence.
UACCUGGUUGAUCCUGCCAGUAGUCAUAUGCUUGUCUCAAAGAUUAAGCCAUGCAAGUCUAAGUACGAGCUCUCGUACAGUGAAACUGCGAAUGGCUCAUUAAAUCAGUUAUGGUUCAUUUGAUCGUACAGUUUACUUGGAUAACUGUGGUAAUUCUAGAGCUAAUA